rnacentral:rRNA from 1 species
GGCCCAAGGAGGGCGCGGCCACAGGAGAGGGGGAAGACCACAGCCAGCGACGGGACGGGGGAGAGCAAGAGCCCGGAGAGGACGAGACAGAACCAGGCCCACGGGGCGCAGCAGGCGCGAAAACACAAGCGGGAAACCGGAAAGGGGACACCGAGGCCAGCACAAGCGGCGCCGGAGGAAAAACACCGAGCAAGGGCCGGGCAAGACCGGGCCAGCCGCCGCGGAACACCGGCGGCCCGAGGGGACGGAAGGGCAAAGGGCCGAGCCGGGGCAGCCCCGGGAAACGAAGCCAACAAGGCCGGGGGAACGCCAGACGGAACCGGGAGAGGAAGAGGACACAGGGGAGGAGGAAACGAACCCCGGGGACCACCGGGCGAAGGCGCACCAGAACGGGCGACGGGAGGGACGAAAGCGGGGGCACGAACCGGAAGAACCCGGGAGCCCAGCCGAAACGAGCCGCAGGGCAGGCAGGCGCGACCGGCGGGCCGCAGGGAAGCCGGAAGCGAGCCACCGGGAAGAC